rnacentral:rRNA from 1 species
ACUAAGAAUUUGAUCCUGGUUCAGGGUGAAUGCUAGCGGUGUGCCUAAGGUAUGCAAGUCGAACGAUUCGGCAGAAAUGCUGUAUAGUGGCGAACGGCUGAGUAACACGUGGGAAUCUACCCCCAAGUAAGGCAUAGCCCCUCGAAAGAGGGAGUAAUUCCUUAUGUGAAGGUAACUUUAAAGCGGCAACGCGCUUGGGGACGAGCCCGCGGCCUAUCAGGUAGUUGGUGAGGUAAAGGCUCACCAAGCCUAUGACGGGUAGCUGGUGUUAGCGCAUGACCAGCCAGAAGGGCACUGAGACACGGGCCUUACUCCUACGGGAGGCAGCAAUCGGGAAUCUUCCGCAAUGGACGAAAGUCUGACGGAGCGACACCGCGUGAGGGAUGACGGCCCUCGGGUUGUAAACCUCGUUAUAAGCACCGGCUAACUACGUGCCAGCAGCAGCGGUCACACGUAGGGUGCAAGCAUUACCCGGUCUUACUGGGCGUAAAGAGUUCUGUAGGCGGCUAAAUAAGUUGGGGGUCAAAUACCUCGGCUCAACCGAGGAAAGGCUUUCAAUACUGUUUGGCUAGGAGGCGACUAGGGGGUAGCGGAACGUAUGGUGUAGCAGUGAAAUGCGUUGAUAUCAUACGGAACACCAAGGGGGAAGCCAGCUACCUGGGGUUGUCCUGACGCUGAGAGACGAAAGCGUGGGGAGCGAAACGGAU